rnacentral:rRNA from 1 species
GACGAAGGGGGCUAGCGUUGUUCGGAAUUACUGGGCGUAAAGCGCGUGUAGGCGGUUGUUCAAGUCGGGUGUGAAAGCCUUGAGCUCAACUCAAGAAAUGCACUCGAUACUGGAUGACUAGAGGACCGGAGAGGAUAGUGGAAUUCCCAGUGUAGUGGUGAAAUACGUAGAGAUUGGGAAGAACACCAGUGGCGAAGGCGGCUAUCUGGGCAGUAACUGACGCUGAGGAGCGAAAGCGUGGGGAGCGAACAGG